AAUGUCAGUGCUACAAAUGUGCAUCUUUUCUGCUAUAUUGCGUUGAUGGUAGUUCGGAAUGUGGUCAAGAAUUUUCACGUUGUCGAAAUCGAAACGAUGUCCCUCCUUAACGGCGUGUAUCGGUUGCCAGUGGUUUCAGUCAAUUCCUUCUCCCUUCUGUCUGAUAUCGCUCUUAUGUUUGACAGGUUCAUGAUUCGCUGUUUCGUUUGGCCUGGCUAUUUGGCUGGACAAUCCAGACAGUCAACACGAUAUACAAUUUUCGAUUUCAUGCUCUUCGGUACUGGAUAUUUCGUUUUCGUGAAAACAUUGCCGAUGUUAUUCGUCGUUUUACAUCCCAAUGCCAUGUCGUAUUCGUUCAUCGUCUUAUUAAUCCUUUCAGGUAAUCCAGGUUUUUUACUUUUCCAAUGAUUUGUGGACUGUCUAUCGGGUUCGUGAAAGAUAUUGCACGAUCGGUGAUUGCACUGGCUAUGUUCCUUUUAUGUGUCGUCGGAUUAUGGCCUUGGAAAUG